rnacentral:lncRNA from 1 species
ACAUCACCAAGAAUAUGUGCUAAAGCUGCUUUGGAAACGAUUCUGGCUCCUUCUGCAUUUCUCAGCCUGAUGAUCCAUGGCAGUUCCUGAAAACCUUCAACAUUCAGUCUCAGCUGGUCAGCAUCUAAGUGAAUUCUGGCUCUGCCUUGCUGGACACUGGAGCUCUGUCUCCAUCCCACUGGAAACUCCUCCAAUGGCCUUUCUGAAGUUGCAAAAUUCACACAGACUCCAAGCCAUCUGUCUCCAC